AGGCUGGACAGGGCACCUAAACUAUUUAGUUUAACGAAAAAAAAUAUAUAAAAAUAUUGUUUACCUGCAGUAAUUCAUCUUACACGUUUUACAUGUUUCUACUUGAGGUGUAAGUGUACAGCUUGUGGCUGCUUGGUCUUUUUGCGUCGUCCAUUUAUGGCGUGAAUUGGUAUCAUUUGCGUGAAGACGUCGAAGCGUGAAUUGCGGAAGUUUUUCAGCAUAGCAUUAUUUGUGCUUCUCCAUGGGCCGAAGCCGUUCUCGUUCGCCGCAGAGAAGAGAGCGAGAUAGGGGUAGAUCUCGAUCCCGUGAGAGGGAUGGCCUUCGGGACCCGCCGCGCGAGCGAGAUCUUGAUCGAGAGCGCAGGCUACCAAGAGAACGGCAUAGGAGCCGGUCCCGCUCUUUGUCUCCUAGACUCCGCAAUCGUUCACCGAGGCGCCGACGAAGCCGAUCUCCCAGAAGGCGUUCUCGCUCCCCAAGGCGGAGGUCUAGGAGCAGGGAGCGCAAAGAAAAGGAAACUCCUGGAGCAAUUCCGAAAUUCCUGUUGGAACGGCCACCCAUCACAGCGAAAGACCUGGAAGGAAAAACUGAAGAGGAGAAAGAGAUGAUUAAAUUGAUGGGAUUUGCAAACUUUGACUCUUCCAAGAUAAGCAAACUCAAACUCACAUUUCCUGACCCACCUUCACCAUAGUGGCUGGCCUCUAGGGUAAGCACAUACCUGGUAACAAUGUUGGCGCCGUGCACGUCAUUCACAAGCGAAAGUACCGCCAGUACAUGAAUCGGAAGGGAGGAUUCAAUCGCCCGCUUGACUUUGUUGUAUAACAUCCUCAUCAGAUCGGCUUGUCCGGUCUAUCCCAACAUGCUCUGUAUAGCAGCUUCAAUAAACUUGAUCGUCUGUGUCUUCA